UAACCCAUGAUAGUCUUCUGGCACAAUACGUA
rnacentral:piRNA from 1 species